rnacentral:ncRNA from 1 species
GGCCGGAUAAGGUAUUUAUGCCGCCAUCCGGCAAUGCCUGAUGGCGACGCUGAGGCGUCUUAUCAGGCC